rnacentral:rRNA from 1 species
AACGAACGCUGGCGGCGCGCCUAAUACAUGCAAGUCGAGCGAGAAGACGUAGCAAUACGUUUGUAAAGCGGCGAACGGGUGAGGAAUACAUGGGCAACCUACCCUCGAGUGGGGAAUAACUAGCCGAAAGGUUAGCUAAUACCGCGUACGCUCCUUGGACUUCGGUUCAGGGAGGAAAGCGAUACCGUGGGUAUCGCGCUCUUGGAUGGGCUCAUGUCCUAUCAGCUUGUUGGUGAGGUAACGGCUCACCAAGGCUUCGACGGGUAGCUGGUCUGAGAGGACGAUCAGCCACACUGGCACUGCGACACGGGCCAGACUCCUACGGGAGGCAGCAGUAAGGAAUAUUGCGCAAUGGGCGAAGGCCUGACGCAGCGACGCCGCGUGGGGGAUGAAGGUCUUCGGAUUGUAAACCCCUUUCGGGAGGGAAGAUGGAACGAGCAAUCGUUCGGACGGUACCUCCAGAAGCAGCCACGGCUAACUUCGUGCC